AUGAACCAGGAACUGGGAUGACAAAACAGGAUUAAGACCCAGCUAUUUAACUGAAACCCCAAAAUCCAGGAUACCUUCACCGCAUGAGACAGAAUGACAGAUGAGUUCCAAUGUGAUACGCCCCUAGUGUGUAACUCCUGCUGUAAGACCUCAGUGAGAAUGGAGGAAGAAUUUUCCAGUGACUUCUUCACCUGGGCCAACAGUUCAUGUACAAGAUGUGUCAUUUUUCUGUAGAUCUCCAUUGACUCUCUCCAUGUUCUUCAGCUCAGACCACAAGAUUUUCCAGUGCCAUUUGCAACUUUCUCUCUCGCAACACAACUGUCUU